AGUUUUACUUCUAUUUCAGGGCCUCAUAUCAAACUGCUGGGUGUACUAUUAAAGAUACAGUCCGAGAUUCAUUUUCGUUUUGCGAAAGGUUGUUAAUAUUUGUGCUCAACAGCCAAUCAAAUUCCACACGUCCCCUCUGUGCUCCUGAAGCACCUGUAUUAAUUAGCUGGGAUUGUUUAUGGCUCGAUCCGAGCCACUAUGUUUGUUUCCCAGUUACAUAGCCAGGACUGUGUACAAAAAAACGGACUAAAAAGAAAGCCAGAGGACUGUGAGGAGUAAUUAGCUGAAAUCGACAAAAAGUGUAUGAGAUUAGAUCUGAGGACUGUACCUUUAAUUUACAAAAUAGUUUGUCCAAAGCACUUUAUUACUGCUAUUGAUGUUCAGCAUUCUUAUCACCUUUCGGACUUAUGGUAUCCUGUGUUUUUGUUUGUCCAAAUCACCAACCCAAAUUCAGCCGACACAGGCUUCAACUAGUAUCCAGAGCUAAUAUCAGUGGCUUCACGAAAAGAUACUAACCCAUGUACUUUACACUUAUUUUGUACUUUUACAAUACAUUCAUACACGGCAGAAGUUUCCAUGAAAUAAAUCUCAUCAAUUAUCUUUUGAAUGAAUCAUGUAUAUAAUCUGUUCUUUCAGACUGACGUUCAAACAUGAAUCAUUUCAGACUCACGUUCAAACAUGAAUCAUACUGGUACAACCAAGGUUUUUAUUCUCAGUUGCCUUAUAUUUACAGGCUGGGGAGGAAUACUUAUACCCGCAGCCGACUGGUCAAACUUGUUGAGAAAGUGCUGACCUGUGAAACUCUUCAUCUUGUGCUUGUGAAGGGAGCGAUUGAAAAGACAAAUGAAGGACAGGAAUUCAACCUCCAUUUUAUGAGCAGGCAAAGUGUGAACAACUUCAAAAAUCAUAAUCAGGACAGUGAGACUUCAAAGACUCUUGUCUGGACGAAUGAUAACCUCAGUGUGACCCGUCUGAAGGCCUUGUGUGAGGCACUGAAGAGCUGCCCCAGCUUGACCAAGCUUGACCUGUCCAGGAACGCGCUGGGGAAUCAAGGAGUGAAGAAACUGCUUGCGCUCUUGCCAACCCUGGAGACCAUUCAGGAAGUGAUGUAAGAAUCCAUGAUGGUGCUUGCACAGAAGAACACCGGAGUGGGGGAGGGGGAGGGCAUUAAGUAAUGAUACAGGUUGUCUAACGGUCCACAGUCCGAGUAUCAACGGGUAAAUGGGUAAAUAAUGAAUCAAAUAAAGAAUCAUUGUUUAAAACGUUCA
rnacentral:lncRNA from 1 species